UAGAGGUUCAGUCUUUUGUUUUGAGUAGUGCACAGCACGUAGUGAAUUUUUUUUUAUUUCUUUUCGCGCGGCGACCAAUUUCUAGGCGGGUUCUAAAUUUUUAAGGUUUCUUUUUCUUUCAUUAUUUUUUAUUGGGUAAAAUUUAUGUAUAGUAUUUUAGGUGCGGUUACUUAAGUUCCUCUCUUAAGAUUUUUCCAUGUGGCUACUUAAUUUUAAAAAUACACUUCUAUCAUGAGAAAAAAGCCAUGUGAUAAAAUCUUAAGAGAGUGAUCUAAAAAAUAGCAUCUAAGAAACAGCAUCUAAGUAUUAUAGGUAAGCCUUACUUUAUUUUAUUUUAUUUUAUUUGUGUAAACAAAACACUAUUACUCCCUCUUUCUCCUCCCAUACACAGACCCACGCCUCUCAACCUCUCCCAAAAAUAUUGGAUUAGCAGGAUAUUGAUUUUGGGAUUAGAGAGGGUGUUGAUUUUAGGACAUAGCUUUUGGGAUUGGAGAAGUAACCUAUUGCUGUGGGCCCCUGAAGAGCUCCAAGAUGAGUUGGAGGAUCGAGUAGAAGAGCUCCAAGAUGCAAACUACAAGUUGGAGGAUCGAGUAGAAGAGCUCCAAGAUGCAAACUUUUGGCUGGAGGAGAAGAUGGAUUGCAUCAUACAAUAUUUGAGGAGCAAGGGUGACAGUGACAUUUGUGGCAGUGGAGGGAGCUCAUCUACUAACUAGAACACACCUUGAUAUGGGAUUGGUGGCAAAAAGAUAGCUUUUGUGAGGCUACUUGAACUCAAAUAAUUUUCUAUAAAGUUUGGAAGCUAAGACAUCAUUUGUAUAUAAAUGGUUGUAAUUACUUUGUGAAC